AAGGAACCAAAAUCCAAUUUAACAGACAUUUUUUCCAUAUUAAUGCCCGAGAAAGAGAAAAGACAAAGCCUGGGGGGAUUUGACGCCUCUGCCUCCCCCUUGGCUAUAUUCUAAGAUCGCGAUCGCAAGCCAUUAAUUGUGCCAAAAAGUGGAAUUAUCUGCGUUUAGAAUUGAGAGGGGGUUUGAAUUUAUUUUCGUUAAACAAUGGGGGUUAUGUCGAGGCGGA